rnacentral:rRNA from 1 species
UACGUAGGGUGCAAGCGUUAAUCGGAAUUACUGGGUGUAAAGGGAGCGCAGGCGGCGCGGCAAGUCUGAUGUGAAAGCCCGGGGCUCAACCCCGGGACUGCAUUGGAAACUGUCGUGCUUGAGUGUCGGAGAGGUAAGUGGAAUUCCUAGUGUAGCGGUGAAAUGCGUAGAUAUUAGGAGGAACACCAGUGGCGAAGGCGGCUUACUGGACGACAACUGACGCUGAGGCUCGAAAGCGUGGGGAGCAAACAGG